ACAAUGGGGAAUGGAUGAAAAUAUUAAAUGUGCCUGAUUAUUUUUCUGGUCGUAGGAAUAACCAUUUCUAGUUACAGAAAAAAAUUACAGAUUUUUUGGUUGCGUCUUACAUUUUAUAAAAAUAAAAACAUUUUGCUUCACCGCACGUCCGGCCCAUUACGGCUGUUAAGAAAACUUUCUAAGUCUUAAAAAGUUAUCGCUAUUUGAAUCUGUGGAGCGCAUGACAUUGACAGUUGAUUGACAGCUUGUCAUUCUUCUCGCGUAAUUCAUAACCUUUUGUGCUCUCAUCUGGUGAACUGGUUUCUUUGUAUUUAUGUGAUUAUUACGACUCGCUUCCCCACCCGGACCUCUGAUUUUGCCUGCUCCAACGACGACCUACACUUUUGAACCCCGGACCUGAUUUUGAUAGCAAUUUCGACGACCACUGCAACUGAAACUGGACUAUUAGUUUGGUACCGUGUUCAUCACCAUGAAUACAAACACUUAUAAACUAUAUAAAGAUCCUAAAACAUGCUUUAUACCAACGUGCUCCAAGACUGAUCUGAAAAACCCGGAUUUGAAGUUUUUUACUGUAAGAAAAGAGCUGAAACAACGUUGGUGUCAAUUGGUUGGCAGGAACUGUCCAAACCGAGCACUGUUUUGCUGUGCGGACCACUUAAAUGUAAGUUACCUUGUUUUGUUUACCUUUCUGUAAAAAAAUGAAUUACCCCCAUGUUAGUUUUGAUGAUAUGGCAUUUUUUUAAAUUGUGGAAUAAUGGAUGGAAUAAUUUAUGGUAAGCUGGUAAAAAACAAUUUUAUUAAUACAUUACAUUAAUGUAGGUGCUGCUAUGUCAUGUUUAAACCCUUUGUCAUAUCAAUGAAUUUUCACUUUGUAUUAAAAUAACAUGUGGUAUUUGUCAGUACAUGGUGAACAAAAACACUAUGAGGAAACUGGGCUGAUCAAAACAAUGCCUAGUUUCCUCCAGUUAAAAAAAUGUGUGCCUAUGCCAAUACUUAAUGUUAUAUUGCCCAGCAGACCCCAGGCUCCAUAAGUGAGCUACAGCAAAUACUGGGGAACAUUUGGAAGAUUAUGACAACUGUUAAAUAUAAAUGUUUAAUGUUUUCUAAUAUUUUUACAGUUUGAAGAAGAUUUGGAAAAUUAUGGACAAUGGAUCUCUGGUGCAAAGCCAAGACUAAAAAUAAAUGCCAUACUUAAGAAUUUUUCAAAAAAACCAUUGAGUGCAAUCAAUAAGAAUAUUGAAGAUCUUAAUCGGCCAUCAACUUCAAGUGCUGCUGACAAUGCUGGCAUGCAGGUCUCUGACAGUAUGCAGCUAUACAGUGUGAUAAAAGAAUAGGUGUUUCAAACAAGUUUGUUUUGGCCCAGCCGAAGACUCAAACCAUAGCUACUCAAUUCCGUGGGCGAAAAAUAAAAGAAAGUGUGAUGCCAUCACGAAUGAUGCAACUACCGAACACUGAGAAGAGUCCCAAUCAAUCACCAUCCUUGUUUGGGACAUCCAACUUCGACUCGUCUUCGAGUGCUCAACAAGAGGAUAUUGAAAAACGUGGCAGGGAGCACCUACUAAAAAUUAUUACUAACAAACCCAAAAUGUUUUUAGGUCUGCCAAAAAGCUUUUGGUGGAUUAUUAAUUUCAUUGCCCAGGAGUGCUCUUGUUUGGCAUUUCAUAUUAUCAUAUGUCUAUUUAAAUUAAAAAACAAUGACUCUUUUGCUAGGAUGAGUGAAGAAUUUCAAAUGGCCAGGUCAACCAUACGUUUAGUGUUUGAAAAGAACGUCGUAGUUUUGUCCACAUACUUUCAAAAUUGUAUAUAUUUACCACCACUAUCAGAAAAAAAAAAAAAUUACCAUUAGCAUUUAAAAUCAGAUAUUCGAAUGUACAGUGUAUUAUAGACUGUUUCGAGAUUCAAAUAGAAAAACCCAGCGAUCCAGAGAAGCAGGCGCAGACUUGGUCGCAGUACAAAUCAUGCAACACGAUGAAAUAUUUGAUUGGCUGCACACCCGCUGGAUACAUUUCAUUCAUCUCACAGGGUUAUGGGGGACGUACAUCUGAUAAAGCCAUCACGGAGAACAGUGGCUUUGUUGAUGUACUUCCCCUAAAUGCAGUAAUCAUGGCCGAUCGUGGUUUUAAGGAGAUUGAAUCACUCUUAAUCACAAAAAAUGGAAAACUCUUAAGACCUCCUAGUGUCUUCGCCAAUCAAAAAAUGACAAAAAAAGACGUAAUUAAAACUAAGGUGAUUGCCAGUUUGAGGGUGCACGUUGAGCGUGUAAUUAGGAGAUUACGGGAAUUCCAUAUGUUAAAACCCCACUCUGUGGUUAAUAACAAACAUUUAAAAUAUUUGGACGACCUGGUCAUUAUAGCUUGCGGAUUAAGUAAUCUUCAGAAUCCAAUAAUAAAAGACGUUUGAUAAUA